AAUCCUUCAUCUACUUUUCAGGUUGGGACUCGUCUAAUUGAAUUACUGUUGCAAACUGCCUAUAUACAGCCUCGGGCUGAUCAGUUAGCUGAUGGUCCACCUGAUAUUCGACCUGCGUUUGUACACUCAUUAAAAACUGUAGUGAAAGAAAAGAACAUCGGCAGAAGAUAUGGUGUCAUUGAAUGUGAUCCACUAGUUCGCAAGGGCCUCGAAAGAACUUUGGGAGCAACUGCUGUCAAUUUGGUUGCUGGAGAAAAACCUGCUGAUGUUUACUAAGGAAUAGCUGCUAGGUAAGUAGCUUUUUCA